GGACCAAAAUCAUGGGAGGAUGUGUCAACCGAGGACCUUAGAAAAUGGCAGGAGGAAGUACUUGAGUGUAACAGAGGAAGUGAAAGGAAUGCAGAAAUGUCAAAGCAACAUAACAGUGAUUUUGAGGAUGGACAUUCAACGGGACAUCAGGUAU